rnacentral:rRNA from 12 species
UCAAAACGACUCUCGGCAACGGAUAUCUCGGCUCUCGCAUCGAUGAAGAACGUAGCGAAAUGCGAUACUUGGUGUGAAUUGCAGAAUCCCGUGAACCAUCGAGUCUUUGAACGCAAGUUGCGCCCGACGCCUUCGGGCUGAGGGCACGCCUGCCUGGGCGUCA